GACGAACGCUGGCGGCAGGCCUAACACAUGCAAGUCGAGCGCACAGGGAGCUUGCUCCUGGGUGACGAGCGGCGGACGGGUGAGUAAUGUCUGGGAAACUGCCUGAUGGAGGGGGAUAACUACUGGAAACGGUAGCUAAUACCGCAUAACGUCUUCGGACCAAAGUGGGGGACCUUCGGGCCUCAUGCCAUCAGAUGUGCCCAGAUGGGAUUAGCUAGUAGGUGGGGUAACGGCUCACCUAGGCGACGAUCCCUAGCUGGUCUGAGAGGAUGACCAGCCACACUGGAACUGAGACACGGUCCAGACUCCUACGGGAGGCAGCAGUGGGGAAUAUUGCACAAUGGGCGCAAGCCUGAUGCAGCCAUGCCGCGUGUAUGAAGAAGGCCUUCGGGUUGUAAAGUACUUUCAGCGAGGAGGAAGGCAUUAAGGUUAAUAACCUUGGUGAUUGACGUUACUCGCAGAAGAAGCACCGGCUAACUCCGUGCCAGCAGCCGCGGUAAAAC
rnacentral:rRNA from 1 species